UACAGAGGAUGCGAGCGUUAAUCGGAAUUACUGGGCGUAAAGCGCGCGUAGGCGGCUUUGCAAGCCGGAUGUGAAAUCCCCGGGCUUAACCUGGGAACUGCAUUCGGGACUGCAUUGCUAGAGUAUGGGAGAGGGAAGUGGAAUUUCAGGUGUAGCGGUGAAAUGCGUAGAUAUCUGAAGGAACAUCAGUGGCGAAAGCGACUUCCUGGACCAAUACUGAUGCUCAUGUGCGAAAGCGUGGGGAGCAAACAGG
rnacentral:rRNA from 1 species